UACGGAGGGUGCAAGCGUUAUCCGGAAUCACUGGGCUUAAAGGGUGCGUAGGCGGCGCGGAAAGUUGGGUGUGAAAUCCCUCGGCUCAACCGAGGAACUGCGCCCAAAACUACCGUGCUCGAGGGAGAUAGAGGUGAGCGGAACUUAGGGUGGAGCGGUGAAAUGCGUUGAUAUCCUAAGGAACACCGGUGGCGAAAGCGGCUCACUGGAUCUCUUCUGACGCUGAGGCACGAAAGCUAGGGUAGCUAACGGG
rnacentral:rRNA from 1 species